GGUGCUUGCAUCAUGAUUUACAUUUGAGUGAGUGGCGAACUGGUGAGUAACACGUGGGAAACCUGCCCAGAAGCGGGGGAUAACACCUGGAAACAGAUGCUAAUACCGCAUAACAACUUGGACCGCAUGGUCCGAGCUUGAAAGAUGGCUUCGGCUAUCACUUUUGGAUGGUCCCGCGGCGUAUUAGCUAGAUGGUGGGGUAACGGCUCACCAUGGCAAUGAUACGUAGCCGACCUGAGAGGGUAAUCGGCCACAUUGGGACUGAGACACGGCCCAAACUCCUACGGGAGGCAGCAGUAGGGAAUCUUCCACAAUGGACGAAAGUCUGAUGGAGCAACGCCGCGUGAGUGAAGAAGGGAUUCCGCUCGUAAAACUCUGUUGUUAAAGAAGAACAUAUCUGAGAGUAACUGUUCAGGUAUUGACGGUAUUUAACCAGAAAGCCACGGCUAACUACGUGCCAGCAGCCGCGGUAAUACGUAGGUGGCAAGCGUUGUCCGGGAUUUAUUGGGCGUAAAGCGAGCGCAGGCGGUUUUUUAAGUCUGAUGUGAAAGCCCUCCGGCUCAACCGAAGAAGUGCAUCGGAAACUGGGAAACUUGAGUGCAGAAGAGGACAGUGGAACUCCAUGUGUAGCGGUGAAAUGCGUAGAUAUAUGGAAGAACACCAGUGGCGAAGGCGGCUGUCUGGUCUGUAACUGACGCUGAGGCUCGAAAGUAUGGGUAGCAAACAGGAUUAGAUACCCUGGUAGUCCAUACCGUAAACGAUGAAUGCUAAGUGUUGGAGGGUUUCCGCCCUUCAGUGCUGCAGCUAACGCAUUAAGCAUUACGCCUGGGGAGUACAGCCGCAAGCCUGAAACUCAAAGGAAUUGACCGCGGCCCGCACAAGCAGUGGAGCAUGUGCUUUAAUUCGAAGCUACGCGAAGAACCUUACCAGGUCUUGACAUACUAUGCAAAUCUAAGAAAAUAGACGUUCCCUUCGGGGACAUGGAUACAGGUGGUGCAAGGUUGUCGUCAGCUCGUGUCGUGAGAUGUUGGGUUAAGUCCCGCAACGAGCGCAACCCUUAUUAUCAGUUGCCAGCAUUAAGUUGGGCACUCUGGUGAGACUGCCGGUGACAAACCGGAGGAAGGUGGGGAUGACGUCAAAUCAUCAUGCCCCUUAUGACCUGGGCUACACACGUGCUACAAUGGAUGGUACAACGAGUUGCGAACUCGCGAGAGUAAGCUAAUCUCUUAAAGCCAUUCUCAGUUCGGAUUGUAGGCUGCAACUCGCCUACAUGAAGUCGGAAUCGCUAGUAAUCGCGGAUCAGCAUGCCGCGGUGAAUACGUUCCCGGGCCUUGUACACACCGCCCGUCACACCAUGAGAGUUUGUAAC
rnacentral:rRNA from 2 species